CAGCUCCCUUCAAAACCCAGCCCAGCUCUUCGAAUAUUCGUCCAAAGUUUUCCGGCCACGACGCCGGUUACCCCAAAUGACCCCAAAAUAACACCAUAGAACCGCCUAAUCUUCCUCUAUCCAACCCCCAUAAUUGUGUCCCUCAAAUAUUGCCCGAUUUGCUCGAAUUUGAACUCGAAGACUUUCCGGCCAAACCCUAAAAUGCCCAAACGCAUGCAAGUGACGCCAUAGAGUCUCUGGGCCUUCCUCGUAAUGAAUAGGUCAUCAAUCGAGCUUUGUUCCCGCCGGAGCUGGUCGUGUUCAAACUUGGAAAUUUAAUUGGAGUUUUGAAAUGAAUCAGUACACACAUGAACUCAUUGAUGAUGUAACUCCGAGAUUAAGCAUGAAAUAAAAUGUUUGGGCAGUUGCUCGCUGGAUGAGGCGUCUGUUGUUAUUCCAUUAUAAAUGAUAGUUGAAGUAUGUUUUGAGCUGAUUAACACUCGAUGAAAUUUGAAGCUGUGGAAUGUGUACUUAGCGAGGACUAUAUGGGAUCAGUAAUCUCACCUUAUUUGAUUAUAGAUUUGGUAGUUAAACACUGAAUUCAGUAGCAUAGACUUUCAGGUUAACUGUACACUCUAAAUAGUCUAGUAUGCUGUAAUGUGGUAGUGAAUAAUGUUAGUUUCCAAUCGUUAAUUGUUAGUGUUAGUUUAAAUGAGUGUUGUUAAGCAUGAAUUUGUUUCCGGUGAUCGUAAAAAAAAAACAAGUUUAAAAGAGGUCUGUGUCUCAUUUGAUUCAA